AUUGAACGCUGGCGGCAGGCCUAACACAUGCAAGUCGAACGAGUGGCGGACGGGUGAGUAAUGUCUGGGAAACUGCCUGAUGGAGGGGGAUAACUACUGGAAACGGUAGCUAAUACCGCAUACCAUCAGAUGUGCCCAGAUGGGAUUAGCUAGUAGGUGGGGUAAUGGCUCACCUGGGCGACGAUCCCUAGCUGGUCUGCGAGGAUGACCAGCCACAUUGGAACUGAGACACGGUCCAGACUCCUACGUGAGGCAGCAGGGGGGAAUAUUGCACAAUGGUCGCAAGCCUGAUGCAGCCAUGCCGCGUGUAUGAAGAAGGCCGUCGGGUUGUAAAGCACUUUCAGCGAGGAGGCGUUACCCGCAGAAGAAGCACCGGCUAACUCCGUGCCAGCAGCCGCGGUAAUUC
rnacentral:rRNA from 1 species